ensembl:lncRNA
ACCGACCAAUUAGAGGCAUCUGUUUCAGAGGGGUUUGAACCGAGCAACAAUGUUUUACCUUUCGACAGCGGGGCCAACAUUACGGACCUGUUAGUGAAUGAAGAGCAAAAAGAAAACUCUGAAAAUAUUUUAUUAGUAGGUAAGAAUGCCAGCCACAGGCAAUCAGAAAACCCAACUCAUAAUCAUGAUAAUCUCUUCAUCAAGACCAAUACAGAAAUACAGACUGAUUUUCCUGAGUCAGACACACAUUCAAGACCUAACCUGAGAUUUAUGCUUGAGGUGGCACCCCAGAAGCAAAGUGAUAUAAGUGACAUGAACUACAAGCAGAGAUGCAAUCAAGAAUCUGAAUGCGGAGAAGAUACUGAAUAUGAUGCUGCAAUACCCACAGAAAAUAGUUCCAAACUUGAGAAAUGUGAGGGUCCCAGUCUACCUGCCCAAUGCAUCCACAAUUCUGAGCAGCAGGUUAAAAAACACUUGAUGGAGCCUGAAGGUGGUGGAACAGAGCGGUCCAUACCAACUUGUGGUACUGCUUACAAAUGCAAACUAGACCACAUUUUAAGGAAUCCGGAGACCCGGAGGUAUAUGGGAGAUAGACAUUCUGAGGAGGUACACUCAGAGAAUGGCCAAAGG